GGGUUGUGAGGUUAAGCGACUAAGCGUACACGGUGGAUGCCCUGGCAGUCAGAGGCGAUGAAGGACGUGCUAAUCUGCGAAAAGCGUCGGUAAGGUGAUAUGAACCGUUAUAGCCGGCGAUGUCCGAAUGGGGAAACCCAGUGCAAUUCGUUGCACUAUCGUUAACUGAAUACAUAGGUUAACGAGGCGAACCGGGGGAACUGAAACAUCUAAGUACCCCGAGGAAAAGAAAUCAACCGAGAUUCCCCCAGUAGCGGCGAGCG
rnacentral:rRNA from 1 species